AUGCCAGGCACCCUCGAGGCACAGUGGCUGGGGCUCAGGUUGGGGGCACUUGGCCUCUCCAGGCCUCGAAGGCUUCUGGGCUGAUGCGAGCUGGGGAACGGGAGGGACGGACGUGGGAGUGAGAAUGUCACACGGGAGGCAGCUGGUGGCACGAUGGGGGACAGAGUGAAAGGUGGCAAGUCAAGAGCCUUCGUGUCACCAUGGCCACACACCCCGAUGGCUUCCGGCUUGAGGGACCCCUGGCUGCAGCCCACAGCACUGGGCCUUGCACUGUGCUCUACGAAGGCCCUGUCCGUGGGCUCUGCCCCUUUGCCCCCCGAAAUUCCAACACCAUGGCGGCGGCUGCCCUGGCUGCCCCCAGCCUGGGCUUCGAUGGGGUGAUUGGAGUGCUUGUGGCUGAUCUCAGGUGAGCAGAGCUAAGCAGGGUGGUGGGCUGAGUCCAGGCUCACCAGACUGACUGCCCCGCUUGUCCCAGCCUCACGGACAUGCACGUGGUGGAUGUAGAGCUGAGCGGACCCCCGGGCCCCACGGGCCGAAGCUUUGCUGUGCACACCCACAGAGAGAACCCUGCCGAGCCAGGCGCGGUCACCGGCUCCGCCACCGUC
rnacentral:sRNA from 1 species